CUUACCGUUCGUGCAAAUGUCUGUUCUUCUGUAUUGUUGUAUCGAUAAUAUCUUUAGUUGAAAGUAAUUUUAUAACUUUUGAGUAUCUGUUCCCGAGUCAUAGUGAGAUGCUAGAUGUGGAUCUUGUGGAUUUAUAACGUAAAAUCAGUAUAGAUUUGAAAAACGCUGUAAGCAUUUAGUUGAAAAAAUGUACGAAGAGCAUGAUGACAUAAGUCAGUCUUAAUGCUCAAUUAUCCAAGAGAAAUGACAAAAAGAAGCGUUGUUGGUAUAACUGAUAUUUCAACUCAACUCCCCAUCAACUCUACUUGAACCGUUGAAUGUAGAUCAACACUUGAACUCCGCCUAAUGGAAAUACGAUGGAAACGGCUGAAAGUAGAAAAACAGGACUCUGUUUCAGCUCUAUUUGAACUCGGUUCUGUGUCGGUGGAAACUAAGCCAAUGAUGCGUAAAUACGCGAGUUCGAAUAAUUGACCAACCAGAAUAAGAACAACGUGCUGGCAGACUUUCUAGGAAUUUCUUUAAACAAAUGACGAGAGCGAUCUUCAUGGCACUUUUUAGAGCAAUGAACAGUCUUUUGUUUAUACCAAACGUGUCAUGGCUGAUUAUACAGUGCAAGAAUAUCUGCAAAUGGUGGACUUUUAUCGGCGGAAUAAUGGAAAUGCGCAUGCGAUAGCACGAGCAUUUGUGCUCAAUAAUCUGAACAGACGAACUCCUGAUCAUAAAAUAAUCCUGGCGGUAGUUUGUCGUCAAACGGAAACUAAUUCGGUUCUUCCGCCUCGUGAUAUAGGGAGAAGGCGGUGAUGCUCGACCAAUUCAAUUGGCCAGUAGAAAACCCGCUUUUAACAAGGAUCCAAAAUUUUCAAUUGCGAUUCAGCAUACACCUGUGGUGUGGACUAUUCGGAAAUCAACUGAUUGGGCCAGUUAUUUUACCAAAUAAUAUCAAUGGAAAUAACUAUUUACAGUUUCUCCAAGGAGACUUAUUAAAUAUCAUAAACGAUGAAAUACCACCGGAAGUGAGAAGAAGCAUGUAUUUCCAAGACGAUGGCGCUCCAGCACAUUAUUUUAGAAACGUGCCGGAAUUUCUUAAUGAAACCUUUCCCGAGUAUUGGAUCGGUAGAGGCGGGCCUGUACCAUGGCCACCGCGAUCUCCUGAACUAAAUCCUUUGGAUUUUAUUGGGGGUUUUAUUAAACAAAAUAUUUAUUUUCGGUACGAUUCACCCGACAACGAAACUGAAUUAAAUCUUCGAAAUAACGAAGCAGAUGUUGCAGCGAGCAUUAGACUCGUUCGUCACGCGAUUACGAAUGUGCAUAGACGUUCAAGGUCGUCAUUUUGAACAGUGUCUCUAAUGUUAAUAAUCAUUCAAUACAUACAUAAAAUAUAUCAUUAAAGUUGCUGUUUUUAUUUAUGGUAAUUUGUUCAUUCAUCAGCGACUAUUUACUCCACAGUGUCACGUAAAAAGUA